CGUCCACAGUAGACCAUUCUCACGUGCACAAAUGGCUAGUAGUUCGAAAUGUGAGGUGUUAGGUUGACAGAUCGCGGGAAUUGCGCUUUCUCUGCAGUCAGUUACCACACUGAAAAUCGACUUUCUCGAGAAACAAUUGACUCCAGAAAAGCUUUUCGUGAUGCAACUAUCAUACAAGACGGCAGAGGAUGUGUGAAGAAUAUUGGAAGGUGGAUCGGGGAAUGACAUGUCAAAGUACUCUCUAGCAACAUCUAGCGACUGCUGUGACAUUUCUUACCAGAUUUAUGACGUUUGUUUACCACUUUACAAUGCUGUAUUCACAUAACUCAAUCUUAGCCAGUUAUAGUCAUUACCAGUUGGAUAUAACAGUGUACGCUCUAGAUGUUGAAGAAAGACUCAAAGUAACAUGAUAAUGUUUUGUGCUUGUAUAUACGUAGUUCUAUUUGUGGUCAAUUUGAGCAUGGUAUAAGA